CCUACGGGGAGCUGCAGUGGGGAAUAUUGGACAAUGGGCGAAAGCCUGAUCCAGCCAUGCCGCGUGUGUGAAGAAGGCCUUCGGGUUGUAAAGCACUUUCAGUGGGGAAGAAAGCCUUGGGGCUAAUACCCUCGAGGAAGGACAUCACCCACAGAAGAAGCACCGGCUAACUCCGUGCCAGCAGCCGCGGUAAUACGGAGGGUGCGAGCGUUAAUCGGAAUUACUGGGCGUAAAGCGCGCGUAGGCGGUCUGAUAAGCCGGUUGUGAAAGCCCCGGGCUCAACCUGGGAACGGCAUCCGGAACUGUCAGGCUAGAGUGCAGGAGAGGAAGGUAGAAUUCCCGGUGUAGCGGUGAAAUGCGUAGAGAUCGGGAGGAAUACCAGUGGCGAAGGCGGCCUUCUGGACUGACACUGACGCUGAGGUGCGAAAGCGUGGGUAGCAAACAGGAUUAGAUACCCCUGUAGU
rnacentral:rRNA from 1 species